CAAUGUUCAAUUUUAAUGAUAAGCCUUAAUAGUAUGAAUUGCUUAAAACUUACUAAGCCUCGAAAGCUUACUCUGUUUCUUAUUUCUUUGUUUUAUAGAUUGUUGAUUUUGGCUAUCGACUCGGGGAUCGUCAGCAGUUCUUCAUACUAUCGAUCUUUUUGGUACAGUUAUAUUUUGGACUCGAUAUGGCAUGUAUAGGUUGGACUGUUGACAAAAAUAUGUUUUGAAAUUGUAAAUAUCUUGACCGUAUGAAAAUGGCACUUAUGAAUUAUAAAUCUGUAUGUAUUCAGUUCGAUUUAUACUUGUGUUGGUAGAUUAUGUGAUUGAAAUUUAAUGUUUAGCUU
rnacentral:lncRNA from 1 species